rnacentral:tRNA from 1 species
GGGAAUGUGGCUUAGUGGUAGAGUGCUUGACUAGCAUGCAUGAUGCCAUGGGUUUGAUUCCUCAGUACCA